rnacentral:rRNA from 1 species
AGUAGUUUGAUCAUGGCUCGAGGACGAACGCUGGCGGUGUGCUUCACACAUGCAAGUCGAACGAGGUAGCAAUACCUAGUGGCGGACGGGUGAGUAACGCGUGGGAAUCUGCCUUUAGAUGGGGGAUAACGGGUCGAAAGACUCGCUAAUACCGCAUAUGACGAAAGUUGAAAGGAGUAAUCCGUCUAAAGAUGAGCCCGCGUCCGAUUAGCUAGUUGGUAGAGUAAAAGCCUACCAAGGCGACGAUCGGUAGCUGGUCUGAGAGGAUGAUCAGCCACAAUGGGACUGAGACACGGCCCAUACUCCUACGGGAGGCAGCAGUGGGAAUUUUACGCAAUGGGCGAAAGCCUGACGUAGCGACACCGCGUGAGCGAAGAAGCCCCUUGGGGUGUAAAGCUCUGUCAGCUGGAACGAAAAAAUGACGGUACCAGCAGAGGAAGCAUCGGCUAACUACGUG